rnacentral:rRNA from 1 species
UACGUAGGGAGCAAGCGUUGUCCGGAAUCAUUGGGCGUAAAGCGCGCGUAGGUGGCCCUGUAAGUCCGUUGUGAAAGUCAAAGGCUCAACCUUUGAAAGCCGAUGGAUACUGCAGGACUAGAGUACGGAAGAGGCGAGUGGAAUUCCUGGUAUAGCGGUGGAAUGCGCAGAUAUCAGGAGGAACACCAAUAGCGAAGGCAGCUCGCUGGGACGUUACUGACACUGAGGCGCGAAAGCGUGGGGAGCGAACAGG